UUGAAGAGAAAAUUGGUGGAUUUCAAGUAAUCAAGCAAUCAAAGGCAAAGAAAUUGUACUCGAGGAUCGAUAGUCGGAGUACUCUAAAAAAAUUCGACUCCCAAAAUAGCUCAAAAUAGGCUGUAGAUAACUGAUUUCAUCGAGGGCU